CGCGUGGGAAUCUGCCCUUAGGUUCGGAAUAACAGUUAGAAAUGACUGCUAAUACCGGAUGAUGACGUAAGUCCAAAGAUUUAUCGCCUGAGGAUGAGCCCGCGUAGGAUUAGCUAGUUGGUGUGGUAAAGGCGCACCAAGGCGACGAUCCUUAGCUGGUCUGAGAGGAUGAUCAGCCACACUGGGACUGAGACACGGCCCAGACUCCUACGGGAGGCAGCAGUGGGGAAUAUUGGACAAUGGGCGCAAGCCUGAUCCAGCAAUGCCGCGUGAGUGAUGAAGGCCUUAGGGUUGUAAAGC
rnacentral:rRNA from 1 species